GUAAACCAAGAUGGCGUCACGCGAAGAAGCAGUUACCGUUAAUUUACAGAGGAAGCAUUUUUGAGCAUUCCAGGACCCAAAAAAUAAUCUACCACAUCACACCAAAUAACACGUAAACCUAAACUCCCACUAGCACAGUGAAAACAGGAACCAUAUGAUGACUACACAGCCUACAUAAAGCAGAAACUACGUACUCUGCGGUUCACUUCCCAGAACCCGGAGGACAGCGAGUCUGCCUGCCUCCAUGUCGAGGGUCGGGAUUCACUGGCUGCUCUGGCUGCUGUGGUUGAUGUGGAAGGCUUGAGAGAGGACAUGAUGCUUGACUGCUUAGCCUCCAUAAUGGCUUGCUGCCAAACACUCAACGUACUUUCAAAAAGCAAAUCAUCUUUGGAUUUAUUUCGGUUAUGGAAAACAGAUUAGCCCUGAGCUAACUACUGCCAAUCCUCAUCUUUUUGCUGAGGAAAACUGGCCCUGAGCUAACAUCCAUGCCCAUCUUCCUCUACUUUAUACGUGGGACGCCUACCACAGCAUGGCUUUUGCCAAGCGGUGCCAUAUCCGCACGUGGGAUCUGAACCUGCAAACCCCGGGCUGCCGAGAAGCGGAACACGCAAAGUUAACUGCUGCGCCACCCAGCCGGCCCCAGAAAACUAAAUAUUUCUGAGUGCCAACGAGGUAUUAACAUUGGAGAAAGAACAAGACUAUCCACGUUAUUUUCUUCUGUUUCUGGAUACUCGAAGCAUCGUGGGAUGGUGGCCGGGAGCGGAUUGGAAGGGCACUGAAGUGAGAUGCCUGCCUUCCUCCCGUGGACACCACUGCUGGGGCUGUGUGCUUAGCUGAAUUUACAGGAAUGGACAUGGGGGAGCAGCAGAAUGCAAAGGACCAUCACUGGAUCCUGAAAAAGCUCAGUAGCUGAGUCCAGGAAAUGGAUGUACUCUUUCU
rnacentral:lncRNA from 1 species